GAUGAACGCUAGCUACAGGCUUAACACAUGCAAGUCGCGGGGCAGCAUGGGGGUUGCUUGCAAUCCCCGAUGGCGACCGGCGCACGGGUGAGUAACGCGUAUCCAACCUGCCCUUCACCACGGGAUAACCCGGCGAAAGUCGGACUAAUACCGUAUGUUGUCCAUUGACGGCAUCCGAUUUGGACGAAAGGCUUGGCGGUGAGGGAUGGGGAUGCGUCCGAUUAGCCAGACGGCGGGGUAACGGCCCACCGUGGCUACGAUCGGUAGGGGUUCUGAGAGGAAGGUCCUCCACACUGGAACUGAGACACGGUCCAGACUCCUACGGGAGGCAGCAGUGAGGAAUAUUGGUCAAUGGGCGUAAGCCUGAACCAGCCAAGUAGCGUGCAGGAUGACGGCCCUAUGGGUUGUAAACUGCUUUUAUGCGGGGAUAAAAUGGCCCACGUGUGGGCUUUUGCAGGUACCGCAUGAAUAAGGACCGGCUAAUUCCGUG
rnacentral:rRNA from 1 species